UCAAGCCUCAUCAACAUGGUUC
rnacentral:siRNA from 1 species